GAUGAACGCUGGCGGCGUGCUUAACACAUGCAAGUCGAACGGAAAGGCUCCUGCUUGCAGGGGCACUCGAGUGGCGAACGGGUGAGUAACACGUGGGUGAUCUGCCCUGCACUUCGGGAUACGCCUGGGAAACUGGGUCUAAUACCGGAUAGGACGAUGGUUUGGAUGCGAUUGUGGAAAGUUUUUCGGUGAGGGAUGAGCUCGCGGCCUAUCAGCUUGUUGGGGGGGUAAGGGCCUACCAGGGCGUCGCCGGGUGGCCGGCCUGAGGGGGGGUACGGCCACAUUGGGACGGGGAUACGGCCCAGACUCCUACGGGAGGCAGCAGUGGGGAUAAUUGCACAAUGGGCGCAGGCCUGAUGCAGCGAGGCGGGGGGGGGGAUGACGGCCUUCGGUUGGUAACCUCCUUUCGCUAGGGACGAAGUGCAAGUGACGGUACCUGGAGAAGAAGCACCGGCUAACUACGUG
rnacentral:rRNA from 1 species